GGGAACGUGGUUCAGUGGUAGAGUGCUUGCCUUGCAAGCAUGAGGCCCUGAGUUCGAUUCCUCAGCACCA
rnacentral:tRNA from 1 species